rnacentral:rRNA from 1 species
CCUACGGGGGGCUGCAGUGGGGAAUAUUGCACAAUGGGGGAAACCCUGAUGCAGCAACGCCGCGUGAGCGUUGAAUGCCUUCGGGUCGUAAAGCUCUGUCCUAAGGGAAGAAUACUGACGGUACCUUAGGAGGAAGCCCCGGCUAACUACGUGCCAGCAGCCGCGGUAAUACGUAGGGGGCUGGCGUUAUCCGGAAUCACUGGGCGUAAAGGGUGCGUAGGCCGCCCUUCACAUCAGACGUGAAAGGCUACGGCUCAACCGUAGUAAGCCUUUGAAACUGUAGGUCGUGAGUGCAGGAGAGGGGAGUGGAAUUCCCAGUGUAGCGGUAAAAUGCGUAGAUAUUGGGACGAACACAAGUUGCGAAGGCGGCUCUCUGGACUGUAACUGACGCUGAGGCACGAAAGCGUGGGGAGCGAACAGGAUUAGAUACCCCGGUAGUC